GGGCUACAGGACGAACGCUGGCGGCGUGCUUAAUAACAUGCAAGUCGAACGGAGUUAAGGGUUUCGGCCUUUAACUUAGUGGCAAACGGGUGAGUAACGCGUAAGCAACUGCCCUUCAGAUGGGGGAACAACAACUGGGAAACGGCUGCUAAUACCGAAUACGUUCUUUUUGUCGCAUGGCAGAGAGAAGAAAGGGAGGCUCUUCGGAGCUUUCGCUGAAGGGAGGGGCUUGCGUCUGAUUAGCUAGUUGGAGGGGUAACGGCCCACCAAGGCGACGAUCAGUAGCCGGUCUGAGAGGAUGAACGGCCACAUUGGGACUGAGACACGGCCCAGACUCCUACGGGGAGGCAGCAGGUGGGGAAUCUUCCGCAAUGGACGAAAGUCUGACGGAGCAACGCCGCGUGAACGAUGACGGCCUUCGGGUUGUAAAGUUCUGUUAUACGGGACGAAUGGCGUAGCGGUCAAUACCCGUUACGAGUGACGGUACCGUAAGAGAAAGCCACGGCUAACUACGUG
rnacentral:rRNA from 1 species